GCCAGUUUUGCUCAGUGGGUAGAGCAUUAGCCUGCAGACCAAAAGGUCCCUGGUUCGAUUCCGGUCAAGGGCA
rfam:Myotis lucifugus cont2.40212, whole genome shotgun sequence.